rnacentral:rRNA from 1 species
GAUGAACGCUGGCGGCGUGCCUAAUACAUGCAAGUCGAGCGAACAGACGAGGAGCUUGCUCCUCUGACGUUAGCGGCGGACGGGUGAGUAACACUUGGAUAACCUACCUAUAAGACUGGGAUAACUUCGGGAAACCGGAGCUAAUACCGGAUAAUAUAUUGAACCGCAUGGUUCAAUAGUGAAAGACGGUUUUGCUGUCAUUUAUAGAUGGAUCCGCGCCGCAUUAGCUAGUUGGUAAGGUAACGGCUUACCAAGGCGACGAUGCGUAGCCGACCUGAGAGGGUGAUCGGCCACACUGGAACUGAGACACGGUCCAGACUCCUACGGGAGGCAGCAGUAGGGAAUCUUCCGCAAUGGGCGAAAGCCUGACGGAGCAACGCCGCGUGAGUGAUGAAGGUCUUCGGAUCGGAAAACUCUGUUAUUAGGGAAGAACAAAUGUGUAAGUAACUAUGCACGUAUUGACGGUACCUAAUCAGAAAGCCACGGCUAACUACGUG